GCCGGUGCUUUGGCGAUUGGGAUACACCCGUUCUCAUUCCGAACACGGAAGUUAAGCUAAUCAGCGCCGAUGGUAGUCCGACAGGGCAAGAGUAGGUCGGCGCCGGCA
rnacentral:rRNA from 1 species